rnacentral:rRNA from 1 species
GGGGAAUAUUGGACAAUGGGGGCAACCCUGAUCCAGCAAUGCCGCGUGUGUGAAGAAGGCCUGCGGGUUGUAAAGCACUUUCAGUUGGGAAGAAACAGCAAUCGGCUAAUACCCGAUUGUCUUGACGUAACCAACAGAAGAAGCACCGGCUAACUCCGUGCCAGCAGCCGCGGUAAUACGGAGGGUGCGAGCGUUAAUCGGAAUUACUGGGCGUAAAGCGUACGUAGGCGGUUAGAUUAGUCGGAUGUGAAAGCCCCGGGCUUAACCUGGGAAUUGCAUUCGAUACUGUCUGGCUUGAAUGUGGAAGAGGGAAGUGGAAUUCCAGGUGUAGCGGUGAAAUGCGUAGAUAUCUGGAGGAACAUCAGUGGCGAAGGCGACUUCCUGGUCCAACAUUGACGCUGAGGUACGAAAGCGUGGGGAGCAAA